GACGAACCGUGCGAACGUUGUUCGGAAUCACUGGGCUUAAAGGGCGCGUAGGCGGGCUGCCAAGUCCGCGGUGAAAUCCCCCGGCUCAACCGGGGAACUGCCGCGGAUACUGGAAGUCUCGAGGGAGGUAGGGGCAUGCGGAACUGCGGGUGGAGCGGUGAAAUGCGUUGAUAUCCGCAGGAACUCCGGUGGCGAAGGCGGCAUCCUGGACCGGCAUUGACGCUGAGGCGCGAAAGCCAGGGGAGCAAACGGG
rnacentral:rRNA from 1 species